AACCUUGAAACCGUUACUCACAUUUAUCUUGAAUCAAAUAAUCUUUCUGGUUUUGUUCCAUCUAGUUGGACUAGUUUGAAAUCUCUGUCUAUUCUUGAUUUGAGUAAUAACAAUAUUUCCCCACCUUUGCCUAAAUUUACCACCCCUUUGAAACUUGUUCUAAAUGGAAAUCCAAAGCUGACUUCUAAUCCUCCUGGAGCAAAUCCUUCACCAAACAACAGCACAACUCCUGCAGAUUCACCCACGUCGUCUGUACCAUCUUCACGACCCAACAGUUCAAGCUCUGUGAUCUUUAAACCCAGUGAACAGUCACCCGAGAAAAAGGACUCAAAGUCAAAGAUAGCUAUAGUUGUGGUUCCUAUUGCUGGUUUUCUACUUUUGGUUUGUCUUGCUAUUCCACUGUACAUUUAUGUCUGUAAGAAGAGUAAAGAUAAGCAUCAAGCUCCAACUGCUCUUGUGGUUCAUCCUAGAGAUCCGUCUGAUUCGGAUAAUGUAGUCAAGAUUGCGAUUGCCAAUCAGACUAAUGGAAGUCUUUCCACAGUAAAUGCAAGUGGUUCUGCUAGCAUACACAGUGGUGAAUCCCAUUUGAUCGAAGCUGGGAAUUUGCUCAUAUCGGUUCAAGUACUUCGGAAUGUGACUAAGAAUUUUUCUCCGGAAAAUGAACUUGGA
rnacentral:misc_RNA from 1 species